rnacentral:rRNA from 1 species
CCCUUAGAUGUCCUGGGCCGCACGCGCGCUACACUGAUGCAUGCAACGAGUUUAUAACCUUGGCCUGAAAGGUCUGGGUAAUCUUUUGAACGAGCAUCGUGAUAGGGAUAGAUUAUUGCAAUUGUUAAUCUUGAACGAGGAAUUCCUAGUAAACGCGAGUCAUCAGCUCGCAUUGAUUACGUCCCUGCCCUUUGUACACACCGCCCGUCGCACCUACCGAUUGAAUGGUUCGGUGAAGAUCUCGGACUUCGAUAUUUAUUCUUUAUUGAGUUUAUAUUGUGGGAAGUUAUCUAAACCUCAUCAUUUAGAGGAGGGUGAAGUCGUAACA